rnacentral:rRNA from 1 species
AACGAACGCUGGCGGCAGGCCUAACACAUGCAAGUCGAACGCCGUAGCAAUACGGAGUGGCAGACGGGUGAGUAACACGUGGGAACGUACCCUUCGGUUCGGGAUAACUCAGGGAAACUUGAGCUAAUACCGGAUACGUCCGAGAGGAGAAAGAUUUAUUGCCGAGGGAUCGGCCCGCGUCUGAUUAGCUUGUUGGUGAGGUAACGGCUCACCAAGGCGACGAUCAGUAGCUGGUCGAGAGGACGACCAGUCACACUGGAACUGAGACACGGUCCAGACACCUACGGGUGGCAGCAGUCGAGAAUUUUGACAAUGGGGAACCCGUNAUCGAGCGACGCCGCGUGGAGGAUGAAGGUCUUCGGGUUGUAAACUCCUGUC